GAUGAACGCUGGCGGCGUGCCUAACACAUGCAAGUCGAGCGAUUCUCUUCGGAGAAGAGCGGCGGACGGGUGAGUAACGCGUGGGUAACCUGCCCUGUACACACGGAUAACAUACCGAAAGGCAUGCUAAUACGAGAUAAUAUGCUUUUAUCGCAUGGUAGAAGUAUCAAAGCUCUGGCUGUACAGGAUGGACCCGCGUCUGAUUAGCUAGUUGGUAAGGUAACGGCUUACCAAGGCGACGAUCAGUAGCCGACCUGAGAGGGUGAUCGGCCACAUUGGAACUGAGACACGGUCCAAACGCCUACGGGAGGCAGCAGUGGGGAAUAUUGCACAAUGGGCGAAAGCCUGAUGCAGCAACGCCGCGUGAGCGAUGAAGGCCUUCGGGUCGUAAAGCUCUGUCCUCAAGGAAGAUAAUGACGGUACUUGAGGAGGAAGCCCCGGCUAACUACGUGCCAGCAGCCGCCGUAA
rnacentral:rRNA from 1 species